CAUCAUCGCCUGUUUCAUCCGGAAUUAAAGCCGUUCUUCUGUGACUACCAGCAGAAGCGCCGGGCAUUCUGAUGGAAACCUGUUUACCCGCCGAGGUUAAGGAUUAAAGUCGAGACUGCCGGGACAACGAUGCUGCUCCUGUCAGAUGUGACGGAUCUGGAGUAAUUGCAACGACAAGAAAUCACUACAGACUUUAUUGAAGACUAGAGCGGAUAACAACUCUAUUAUUAUUUAAUUGUUUAUUUAUCUAUUUAUUACCACUGGAUGACUUUUAGAUCAUUCAAUUCUGUGUUUGUAUGAUUUGUGUAAAUCGUGUAUUUAUUUAAAGUAUCCUCCAGACCACCCAAGAAGGAUGGGCCCUGUUGAGUCUGGUUCCUCUCAAGGUUUCUUCCUGUAAUUUUCAGGGAGUUUUUCCUUGCCACAGUCGCCCUCGGCUUGCUCAACAGGGGUUUUUGUAUCUGUUGGUCCUGGAUUUUGUAAAGUUGCUUUGAGACAAUGUAUAUUGUAAAAAGCGCUAUAUAAAUAAAGUUGACUUGACUUGACUUGACUUGAUAAGGUGGGGUGGUCCGGGUCCUCUCUGUGUGGAGUUUGCAUGUUCUCCCCGUGUCUGCAUGGGUUUACUUCGGUGCUCCGGUUUCCUCCCACAGUACAAAGACGUGCAAGUGAGGUGAAUUGGAGACACUAAAUUGUCCAUGACUGUGUUGGAUAUAAACUUGUGAACUGAUGAACCUUGUGUAAUGAAUAACUACCGUUCCUGUCAUGAUGUAACCAAAGUGUAAAACAUGACGUUAUAAUCCUAAUAAACAAACAGACAUUUGA